UUUUCUUAAUAAAUGUGCUUUCAUUUGAGUCUGUUGCCCACUCUUGAAUUCCUUCCUUCAUGUAGCCAAGAACCCACGUAGCCUCCCAGGCUGAACCCCAGUUUCAGGGUUCAUCCUAUGACACAAGCAUCACCACCAUCUACUUCCAGAACUUUUUCAUCAUCCCCAAAAAACUCUGGACUAAUUAAACACUAACUCCCUAUUCCCCCUUGCCCUCAACCCCUGGCAACCACCACUCUCCUUUUUGUCUCCAUAAAUUCGACUACUCCAGGUACCUCACAGGAGUGGAAUCUUACAGUAUGUGUCCCUUGUGACUGGUUUAUUUCACCUAGCAGAAUGUUUUAAGGUUCAUCUAUGUUGUGGCAUGUGUCAGAAUUUCCUUCCUUUUGAAGGCUGAAUAAUACUCUGUUGAAUGAAUAGAUCACAUUUUGCUUAUCCACUCCUCUGUUGAUGGACUCCUGGGUUGCUUCCACUCCUUGGCUAUUGUGAAUAAUGCUGCUAUGAAUAUGAGUAUGCAAAUACCUGUUGGAGUCCCCGCUUUCAAAGCUUUGGGGUUCACAUCCAGAAACGGAAUUGCUGGAUCAUAGGGUCAAUCUAUUUUGGAGGAAUAGUCAUACUGUUUUCCACAGUGACUGUACCAUUCUACAUUCCCGCAAAAUUAUUUCUUUCUAUCUGCCUUACCCCACUGGUUAGAACACAGAGAAGUUACUUUUUCGUUUCUAAAUCCCCAGCACCAGGAACAGUGUCUAGUUCAUAACAGAGCUCUAUAGAGAACUGUGGGAAAAAAAGUGCAAUUUAUAUGCUGCUGCCUCUUCAUUUGGCAUCUCAGUACGUGGCACACAGAAAGUAGGCACUGAAGAAGGGUUGAAGGACCUAAUGAGUACAUAAAUGAAUGCAGUUACCAUUGCUUUUCCCUUGGUCUAGACUGAGGACAGACAUUUUUGUAAAUUAAGCUACUUAGUUAAAUGUAGACCUCUGGCCAGUUUUGCUCAUCCAGAAGUUUCACUUUAAUGCCACUUCAAAGAUACUGUUUUCUGUAAAUCAGAUCAUAAUUGUGAUGAGAAUGAUGUGGGGAUGUGUCCUGGAGUCUCCCCAUCCCCCACCUCACAGCCUAAUGUAUAAUGCACAUUUUAUUCAGGACCAUUUUGGAUGUGUAGGAUCUGCUCCAGAACACAGGAUAAUGGGCCUCUUUUCUGGGGAUGGUGUGGUUCCAUCAUUAGAUAGCAGGUGUGUCAUCUGCAGGUACUGGUCUCACUAUUCAACCACUGGUUGAAAGAUUGGUUCAAGAUCAACUCUUUGAAAAAUCAAAGUAUUACUUUGACAAAUGCUUUUUUGAUAUUUCUCAACCAAUUAACCUUGAAAAGUUCACCAUGAAGUUGAAUUGCCUAAACUUAUACAUUGUACGGGCACUGAGAUGCAAUUUUUAGGGCUGUGUGGGCAUCAGCGAUGCCUGUUUUCAAUACAUUGUAGCUAUGCUCAGUGUCAUGGGCCUUGUAGGGCUGUGACCUCUUUUUGUCUAAGCAUUGAAGCCAAUCUAAAACUCUUUUCCAAAAAGAAAAUGUUUUCUUUGCUAAUAAGUCACCAUCAACUGCAGCAGAGGCAGCUGUUUGGGCUUCACAAUUUGCGGAAGCACAUGCCAGCCUGGCUCUGUCUUGUGCUUGUUCACAGUAUAUGGCUUUGGCCUUGUUCAGCAUCAGGGAGUAGCUGUUCCUUGGGUCAUGCAUGGAGUUGGAUUUAACCCUGGCUUUCAGCUGGCCAGUCCUCAUCAGGAGCUUGGGCAGGAGAAAUAGUACUCUGGUGAAUGGUCUGAAGACAUUAGAUCAUAGAUGACCUUGGCUGCAAGCAACUAAAUCCAGACCACAACAGUUUAUCCAAAUAGGGUUAACCAAACAAGUACAAUGUGUACCCAAAUGAUAUCAGUGUCCCAUGAUCCUUCCAUCAUCCACUGGAUGAUUUCUUAAUUCAAAGUCAAACAAAAACAAAAGCAGAUUUGAAACAUUCUCGUCCAUCCUUGAAAGUGGAUCACAUUCCAUGGUCUCGCUCUUUGAAGUGGUCAACUGAACAGCUGGAUACAUGGUCUGGAGCUGGGAGGAGGAGUGCCUUAGUCCAUUCCUGCUGCUAUGACAAAAUAGCUUAGACUUGGGGUAUGGCACUCUUCCUCAUGCUUACCAGAUGGCUGCUGGAAUUCCAGGAAUCACAUGCAAAUUCUAGUCAGGAGCAAAGAGGAAGAGACACAGUGAAAAGGGGUAUACAGCGGCAGAAGGAAGCUCCUCAAAUGAACUCUCCUAGAACUCUAGCCAGUAGCUUCUCCUUCUAUCACAGUGGCCAGAACUGUGACAAGUGACCAUCCUUAGGGGAAAAAAGAUGCUGAGAAAUGUGAAUUUUGUUGCCACCUUACAUUUUCAAAGGAGUUCCAUUCGUAAGUACAGAACGCUCAGAGAAGAGGCAGCAGAUCUAGGAUAUGGAGCAGCAGCUCUUAAGGGCACAGUGGGAAGGUUUCAAGACUGAGGAGGAUCUUGGAUUUGGGUAGGGGAAGGCAGUUCACAGUAUUGUGGAGGAAAUGCUGUGAAAGAGAAAGUGGAAGGCAUAGAAGCUUAAACUUUCAAUAUGACUGGUGAAUACAAGGAUGAAGGGCAAAGGGAAUUCAGAUUCAUGGUGGUCAGAUUAAGACCUUCAGCGGAUCUGUCUCCCAGCCCCACAUACCCACUUCCAUGUUCUGCUCUUUACUGAAGCUGAAAGUCUGCAACCUUCAUUCUCUGACUCCCUUACAUUUUCUUAGGCUUCUUGCUAGCUUCUGCCAAAAAGAGGCCCUGGCAGGAUAUUAGAUGGCAGGGGGCAGAGGUAAGGAUUCCAUGUUAACAGGUGCUGGAAGUUGCUGGUGUGGCAAUGAGAACUGGGCCCCGGUCAAGGCAGCACUACUUUGGUAGAUCCAGAAUCAACCAUGAUAACCGUGACAGUGUCUUCAACAGUGCAGCAGUAGACACAGGCCCCUGGUGCUGGAAUCCAAUACAGGGACAGGAGCAGCACGGAGUCACGGAACACCGUCUUGCCUUCAUGUCACUUUUCCAUUUCUUCUUUCUCCCUCUUACUCUACCAGCUACCUGUGGAGAUGUUGAACCUUUUAUCUGUAGCUGUCUGCUUAGGAACAGAAGAAAAGGCAGCUCAUUGCUUGACUCAGCUUUCGGCUUAAUUUUUUUCUUUUGGCAGAGUGAAUUGGGGUCCCAGGUGUUUAUUUUCCUUUUGUAGUACCUUUCCUCAACAUGCAAUUUAAUACAAAAAGAACAAUAAACCUUAACAAAGUUUGGCGUGUAUUA